UAUUGGUCAAUGGGCGGAAGCCUGAUGCAGCGACGCCGCGUGAGUGAAGAAGUAUCUCGGUANGUAAAGCUCUAUCAGCAGGGAANNAUNNNANGGUACCUGACUAAGAAGCCCCGGCUAACUACGGUCCNNNCGCCGCGGUAAUACGUAGGGGGCAAGCGUUAUCCGGAUUUACUGGGUGUAAAGGGAGCGUAGACGGCGACGCAAGUCUGGAGUGAAAGCCCGGGGCCCAACCCCGGGACUGCUUUGGAAACUGUGCUGCUGGAGUGCAGGAGAGGUAAGUGGAAUUCCUAGUGUAGCGGUGAAAUGCGUAGAUAUUAGGAGGAACACCAGUGGCGAAGGCGGCUUACUGGACUGUAACUGACGUUGAGGCUCGAAAGCGUGGGGAGCAAACAG
rnacentral:rRNA from 1 species